rnacentral:tRNA from 1 species
GCCUUGAAAGCUUUAAGCACCCUAUUUUGUAAGUAGGAAAAAGUUAAAUUGAUUUAACUCAAGACU